GUGCAGCAGACGAGAAAACUUCACACUGUGCGAAAGCACGAUGAGGGAAUCCCAAGUGCUUGCACGUAAGUGUAAGCUGUUUCUCUGUCUAAAACGCAGAGAGAGUAAGGGCUGGGUAAGACGGGUGCCAGCCGCCGCGGUAAUACCUGCAGCUCAAGUGGUGACCGUUAUUAUUGGGCCUAAAACGUCCGUAGCCGGUUUAAUAAAUGCCUGGGUAAAUUGUGUAGCUUAACUAUACAAAUUCCGGGUAGACUGUUAAACUUGAGACCGGGAGAAGUUAGAGGUACUCCUGGGGUAGAGGUGAAAUUCUGUAAUCCUAGGGGGACCACCAGUGGCGAAGGCGUCUAACUAGAACGGGUCUGACGGUGAGGGACGAAGCCCUGGGGCGCAAAC
rnacentral:rRNA from 1 species